rnacentral:lncRNA from 1 species
AUGUCGGUGGUAGCGGCUUACCUCAGGUGCCAGGAUAUCCAGAUCUACCUGUACCUCGACGACUGGCUCAUCAAGGGCGGUUCCAGGUCUCAAGUCCGAAGGGAUGUUGCAAUGCUUCAAGCCACAUACCGCUCUCUGGGCCUACUGGUGAACAACAAAAUGUUGACAUUAUUGCCAGUGCAGAGAAUAGAGAUCAUCAGAGCGGUCCUCGACUCUACCUGUGCCAGAGGGUUUCUGCUGCUGGAAAGGUUCCACACGAUAACAAACCUCGUUACGGAAGUCUCUGCAUUCCCUCUGACUACAGCCAGGGUCUGUCUACGCCUGGUGGGCCACAUGGCAGCAUGCACUUACAUGGUCCGCCAUGGCAAGCUCCGGAUGCAGCCCCUGCAACAAUGGCUGGCGACGGUCUAUUUCCAGUCCCGAGACCCCCUGGAGAAGAUUGUUACCAUUCCCCAGGUGAUACUUACCUCACUGCAAUGGUGGACCGACCACAGGACAGUCCUGGAAGGGGUUUCACUCGACAACCCUCCUCACUCCAUUGCAUUGGUGUUGGACACCUCAGACCUCGGCUGGGGGGCACAUCUUGGCAACCUCCAGACACAGGGGAUGUGGUCCCCAGAGGAGGCACAGUUACACACAAACCUUGAAGAGCUCCGAGCAGUCUGGAUGGCAUGCAGAGUCUUCUUGCCCUACCUGUCGGGCAAGGUGGUAAGAGUCCUGAUGAACAGUACGGCCUCAAUGUUCUACAUCAACAGGCAAGGGGCAGCGCACUCGUUGGCUCUCUGGCAGGAGGUGCUCCAUCUGUGGGACUUCUGCAUCAGCCACGAUAUCCACCUGGAAGCUUGUCACCUUCCCGGCGUCAGGAAUACAUGGGCAGACCAGCUCAGCACAGACUUCUCUCUCCAUGAGUGGUCACUCCAUCCAGAGGUAGCCUUCAUGAUCUUCCAAAGGUGGGGAACUCCCCAAGCGGACUUGUUCACUACCAGACAGAACAGGAAAUGGCACCAGUUUUGUUCUCGACAGGUUCUGAGCAAGGGCUCCCUCCCUGAUGCCUUCUUCCUGUCAUGGUCAGGGAGCCUGAUGUAUGCGUUUCCUCCGAUUCCACUCAUCAUCAGGACCCUGACAAAGAUCAAGAGAGACCAGGCGCAGGUUAUCACGAUUGCCACAGCGUGGCCUUAUCAGCAUUGGUUUGGCAUGCUCAUGAGCCUGUCAGUGGCUCCUCCCUGGCCCCUGCCCAACUGA